UGGGGAAUCUUGCGCAAUGGGCGAAAGCCUGACGCAGCCAUGCCGCGUGAAUGAUGAAGGUCUUAGGAUUGUAAAAUUCUUUCACCGGGGACGAUAAUGACGGUACCCGGAGAAGAAGCCCCGGCUAACUUCGUGCCAGCAGCCGCGGUAAUACGAAGGGGGCUAGCGUUGCUCGGAAUUACUGGGCGUAAAGGGCGCGUAGGCGGACAUUUAAGUCAGGGGUGAAAUCCCGGGGCUCAACCUCGGAACUGCCUUUGAUACUGGGUGUCUUGAGUGUGAGAGAGGUAUGUGGAACUCCGAGUGUAGAGGUGAAAUUCGUAGAUAUUCGGAAGAACACCAGUGGCGAAGGCGACAUACUGGCUCAUUACUGACGCUGAGGCGCGAAAGCGUGGGGAGCAAACAG
rnacentral:rRNA from 1 species